UAUUGCCAUAAUAAGUCACAUCAAAGACAC
rnacentral:piRNA from 1 species